UCUUGGUCAUUUAGAGGAAGUAAAAGUCGUAACAAGGUCUCCGUAGGUGGACCUGCGGAGGGAUCAUUA
rnacentral:rRNA from 1 species